rnacentral:rRNA from 1 species
GCACACAGUCAUAUCUCACUAAACAAGCCUAAUCUUGUCUGAUCUCAGAAGCUAAGAUAUCAGAUAUCAGACCUAAUUAGUAUUUGUAUGGGAAACUACCUGGGAAUACCAGGUAGUCUAGGUC